AUUAUUAAACUAAAGUUUAGGUUACCUUGAUAGGGUAAAUUUUCUGUUUAACAGUAAUAUUU
rnacentral:tRNA from 1 species